UUCUGCCAACGAAUACAUUAGCAUGGGAUAAUGGAAUAGGACCCUGUCCUCCUAUUUUCAGUUGGUUUUGGCAGCGCGAGGACUAGGGUAAUGAUUAAUAGGGAUAGUUGGGGGCAUUAAUAUUUAAUUGUCAGAGGUGAAAUUCUUGGAUUUAUGAAAGAUUAACUUCUGCGAAAGCAUCUGCCAAGGAUGUUUUCAUUAAUCAAGAACGAAAGUUAGGGGAUCGAAGACGAUCAGAUACCGUCGUAGUCUUAACCAUAAACGAUGCCGACCAGCGAUUAGGAGACGUUGAAUACAAAACACCACCAUCGGUGCGGUCGUCCUUGGCGUUGGUCUUCAAAAGCCAGCGCGGGGGUGGCUUAGCCCGGUGGCACCGGUGA
rnacentral:rRNA from 1 species